rnacentral:misc_RNA from 1 species
GAAUUAUACAAACACAUAAUUAAUUUUACAAUGAUACUGUACUUUCCAGAGACUAUAGAUUUACUUUCUUUACUGACUCUUUAAAGUUCUUUCAAUGCACGUUUUAGGCAUUCCUACCAGAGUUCAGUCUAUGCUAAUUUACAUCCGGUUGGUAUUCCUGCCACGAUGAAAACAAAUGAGACGGCAAAUUAUUUCGAAAUUUUCUUCGACAAUCUGAUAUUCUGGAAACAACAACACAAAAUCAAGGAGUUUAAAACGAGAAGUUUUAUUGGUAGAUGUAUAAAAGUCAUCCAUACAGCUACCACAAUUGCACAACUACUGACAAUGUGUUGCCAGGCAUCCAUUUCUACAAAAUCAACCUUUGGGACAAUAUUUUCAAAGGAAGCACCAGUGACGAGUUGUAAUAAAAUGGCACACUCAAGUAAAAAUCAAAAAAUUUAUAAAGGAAUGAAAGAGUGGCAAAAUAAAUGCCAUCAGAGAAGAUGAAGUUCAUGAAGGAGACAUCUAAUAACAUGUCAAAUACUAUGACCGCAGCCUCAUGCCCACAAGACUCUUUCAAACCAAUUCAGAGAGAAUCAGAGAGCGAGUCAUGUUGCUGGAUGUUCAGGAUGCAGGAGUGGCAGUGGAAAAUAUAUCACAGAUGUAUAAUGUGAUUAGAAAAGCCGUAAGUCAAGACGUUCAAAGUGAUAAGUCCAGAAAAUCAACACAAUCAAAUGGAGAGGCAGCAAGUUUCAAGGACUCUUGUUUUGCAAAUAGGGGUGGCUAGAAGUACAAGAGAAGAUGCUGUCAUAUCUAAACAAAGCCUUGUUAGUCACCCCAUAAUUGCAACAUUAAACGCCAAGAAUAUACACACUGGAAACAGAAUUGAGAGGAAUGUCACCCUGUAUGCCUAGAACAGCCUCUUCCCAUGGUUUUGUCACAUGCAGCCGUCUCUGUGCCUCCCAAUCAUCAAGGGAGUCCUAUCUUUGAAGAAAGUGAGCAUAGUCCAUCAGUUGCAACAAAAAUCAGUACAUAUCUAUCAGUUAAGUCAAAGGAAGAAUUCAGUAGUCAGCCAAGACUCAAUAGUCCUUCUAAAGGAGUCUGAAAUCAAAGUGGAAGAGGAGUUGCAAGACAGCUUUGAAGUAAAGGAAGAAGCACUAGAAACAUUGGAUUCUGUUAAUGAAAAUCAUGUUACUUUUGUAACCAUAGCAUGUCCUCAGGUAAUGAUUUUUACUUUCAUUACCCAGUUCAGAUGUACUUAAAAUGUUUUUUAAUUCUCAGAAGACUUGUGAGAGAGUAUGUGUCUUUGUGUGCUCUCAUGUCAUAACAAAUUAUUGUAGCAUUUUAAGAAAGAUAAUAGUUCCUUUAUUUUCCUCCAAGGUGGACAAUGAGAGAGACAUCCUACACUCUUUUUGUUAUUUUCUGCCCCCCUUCUGUCUCCUUCAACUCAAUCAUGAUGGGACGUAUUUUCACCUUCUGCUUACACCAGGAAGAUAACAAGCGCGCGACACCUUGUUCCGAGGUGUUGUCUCGCUGCACAGGGCCACACUGAGCCUCUUAGAGCUUUUUUCACCUACCCUAUUCUUUUGGUUUGCAUGAUUCAUCUACAAUGUAAAGGCAUGUAAAACAAUGCUUUUCUAGUGUUUCUUUAUUGAACUUAGCCUAUAUUCUUUACUUCUAUGUAAUGAUACCAAUGGAAAGUGGAAGCUUUCUUUUAGUGGGGUUUGAAAAAAGAUUCUUUUUA